GAUGAAGAACGCAGCGAAAUGCGAUAAGUAAUGUGAAUUGCAGAAUUCAGUGAAUCAUCGAAUCUUUGAACGCACCUUGCGCUCCUUGGUAUUCCUCGGAGCAUGCCUGUUUGAGUAUCAUGAGACUCUCAAAGCAAAUCUUUUGUUAAUUCAAUUGGUUCUUGCUUUGGAUUUGGAGGUUCUUUUGCAGAUGUUUAUCUUCUGCUCCUCUUAAAUGUAUUAGCUGGAUCUCAGUAUAUGCUCGGUUCCACUCGGCGUGAUAAGUAUCACUCGCUUAGGACACUUUUGUUUUUGUUUUUUUUUAAAAAAAAAAAAGGUGGCCGGGAAAUACAGAUGAACCGCUUCAAACAGUCCAUUUGCUUGGACAAUGAGUUUUAAGAUCUGAUCUCAAAUCAGGUAGGACUACCCGCUGAACUUAAGCAUAUCAAUAAGCGGAGG
rnacentral:misc_RNA from 1 species